CUUUCUGGACUGGGGAGUGGUUCCUUGGGUGCCAACAUUUCAAAACACACCAGGCCACGUGUUUUAAAAUCUGUGCAUGUCUUUGUGUACGACUUAACACACUAAUUUAAGAGGGAAGGCGGGAGGGCUGGGGAACAGCUUGGAGUGGAGCGCUUGCUGUGCCGGUGUGUCUAAGUUCUGAUCCCUAGCAUCCAUGUACAAGCUGGACUAGGUGGUAGCCAUCUGUAACCAUGGCGACAGGGAGGCAGAGACAGGUGGAUCCUGGAGGCUUGCUGACCAUUCAGUGUGGCCGAAACUGUGCUCCAGGCUCACAGAGAGACCCGAUCUUAAAGAACAAGCACUCCGUCACCCUGUUCGAGCGCAGGUAGGAUUCUAGCUGGGCAUCCGGUGACACCCUGGAUGAGAAGAGCUGAUAAGAUGGCCCAGUCCAAUCGAAGAGGAGACUUGCAGUCAGGGAAAGCCCAGAGGGUCCUCAGCUCGGCCUGCAGCACCAUCCAACUCAGGCUCCUCUCGGGACCCCAGGACCCCCACCAGGGCAGAAGAGGUCAGAGCCUGGAGUGCUCUGACUUUGACAAAGGGUGCAUGUGCCACUCACUUUUACUCUUUAACUGGGAUCAUUGACUUGUACCCACGAUCAGAUAAAAUCUCUGCAGUGUC